rnacentral:lncRNA from 1 species
AACUUGUAGUAUUCCAGUAUGUCACAUGUUGUAUGUGCUUUAAAUUGUAUGUAUUCUGUAAAUUAUUGUAUGGGGUUGCUGAGAUUUUAUUGCUUGUGACCCAAACUGUGAAGAAGUGGGUUUGAAAUUUUGGUCAUGGAAUGUAGGAUCAGAAAACCAUGGACAAAGGUUUUAACCUGUGUUGAUAUGACUUUUGGAAACUCAAAUUGACCGGUCAAAAUUUUGCCAUGCCUUUAACAUGGAGUAGUAUAAAUAUUUUGAGUCUUUGAGAGUUCUGACAAAUGCAGGUGAUACCAUGUCUGUGUAAUCUGGUCCAAAUGUUCUAUAAGCGUAUAAGAGAGAAAUUCCAUUGACAGGGUACAUAUGUUGCAACUGGUUAAUGCAAGUGUUAUACAAAUGUUUAAGUCAAACGUGUUAUAUGGCCGUACGGGAUCCCUUCUUUAAAAAAGAAAAAAUAAACCCUUUGGUACCAGAAAUCUUAAAUAAAUCCAAUACAAACUAAAAUUGGUAUACCUUACAAUAAUAUGUUCUGAAUACAGCUGUUAGAAGUUUAUUCUGUGUGAAUGAUGAUUGUCAUAAAUGUUUGUUUUGGUUACUCAUUUUGAAGUGCGCAGUUUAAUUGUCAUGUAUGUUAAUGGGUAUUUUGCUG